AUCCAACACAUUCGAAGCAGUAGUCUGCACCACCGUCAGUCAUCUCUUUUAUCACCUUCAAAAUAUGUAAAGAACAAAUUUUCUUGUUUGUCAAUUGUAAUCAGCUAUAUGUCCUUAAUCUUAUUUUACUCUCAAUAGUGCAGAAAGAAAAUAAUAAAUGGAAAACAAAACAGAAAGCUGAAUACAAUCCACAAAUUGACAAACAUGUGAAAUUUUCCUUACAAAACAAAACUUUUUUUUGUGUGAUUCUUUUAACAGCUUCCCUGGACAUAUUACUGAAUGAAUUUUACACCUUUCAAAAAGAUGUAUUCACUACAAAGAAAUCGGUUAUUUCCUACGGAAUUUAUUCGGCGGAAAAUAAGUUAAUUCCAACAGAAAAAUUCAUCGGAAAUAACUCCGUCAGAAUUAAAAGUGCAAUUUAAACUACUUAGGAGCAAAGAAGUAGCGGAGCGGAUUAAAAGAAAAAGAAAACUUCGAGAGCUCACCAUUCUCUCACAACCCUCUCCCUCUCCUCUCACUCACACCCCUCUUCCUCCACAGCCCUCUCCUCCCUAUUAUUUCACUCUAUACCUAAUUUUGAAAACUUGUGGCUAUAUCGAUGGCCAACAAAGUAGCAAAAUCAGAAACCCUAGCCCCCAAUUUCAAAUAAACCAAAAUUUUUGUAGAAGCAACCAUCAAAUCGAAGGCUUUAGGAGGAAUAGAGUCAUCUUGCAACAACAACAAAGAACGCGAGAAAUCGCUGAAAGAGUUGAUGGCGAAAGGAUCCAAAGCCGACAAAGAACGCAAUUAUGCUUAAGGCACCGGCUGCUACAAUCGUGCCCUAGAAAUCAAGUUUAUUAGUCUUAUAAAUUAAUGAUAAUCCAUUAAUUUCUCUAUCUCAUAAAUUUAUUGAUAACCUGUUUUCUUAUAUAUAUUAUUGUUGUUUGAUGUAUGUCAACUGGGUUGAAUAUUUUGCUUUUUAAUUCUCGAUAUCAACUUCGAAGGAAGCAAGUUUUAAUUUGGGUGUUUAUAUAUUAAUUGAUUGGAUUGAGCAUGUCUUCCACUUAUUCUCGUCAAAAAUAGCGCAAUUUGCAGAGAAAUCAAAUUUCAUGGUAAUUUCAAUUGUAUAAAUUAAUGUGUAUUCUUUUUUAAUUCUGCCAUUUUUACUUAUUUGUAUUUAUCUCUCUCUUCGGUUCUAGGUUAGUGUUUAGGAGAAAGUCAAAAGUUUAUAUGCAGAGGGACUGAGACGGGGACUGAGGUAGAUAGCAAUGAUGAUAAGGUCUUCAUGCUUGUUUAUGUUAUUGGGUGUGUGAAUAUAUAUAUACAUUGUCACAUAUAUUUGCAGUGUGAUUGAAAUUGGAACUUUAUGAUAAACAUGACUAGGAAAAAGAUGAGCAUGAAGAGGGGGAAAUGCCAACAACCAAUUCAACUGGUUCAGAGAUUGAUUCUCUGCCUAUAGUUGUUGAUCAAGUAAAUUACUUGUCUGCUCAUGUAUAAAAAUUUAAGGUUUAUUUGAUAGUGUGUGGUUAAGUAGAAGUAAUAAUUCGUUGAUUUGUAGAUUGUUUAAUUUGGGUGUUCAUACAUUAAUUUGUGACGUUAAUUUGGGUGUUCAUACAUUAAUUUAUUGUUUAAUUUCGUUCUCAUGCAGUUUUAAUGUGUGUUCCACUUUUCAUGAAUGUUAGUUUUAAUUGUCAAACUUAAUACAGUUAACUCAUUUGCAUCAAUGUCGUGAUGGCGUAAGUGGAAGGUGUGUCGCAGGGGCAAUCGGCAAUUACACCAGCCAGCUGCUCAGCAUAAGGUGUGAGGCUAAAUGCUUUCUCAUUGUAGGCAACAAAGCGAUAGGAGAUACAUGUUACAUUAGAUAUUACACUUUAUCUUUAUGAAUCUUUAUUUGCACCUUUUGAAUUUAAUACUUUAUCAUCAAUUGAAGGAUUAUUUCGCAGUAACUUGUAGGCUGGUCAAACUGUCCUUAAUUUAUCAAGUUAUGUCCCCCUCUUUCUCUCUCUGAUUCUAUAGGAUUAUUACUACUUCUAGCGAUACGCUUAACAAUUUCAAUUACAUAAUUUAACUUCAUCCUUCUAAAAUUUGUAGGAAUUGUUCUCAACUUCGUCAAUGAGGUGAGCUCCUUUGACACUUUAUCUGCUUGAUUUAUUGUUUCUAUGCUUCAUUUGGUGUGUUUUUGGUUGAUACAUCAUACUACGUGAAUAUGCUAAGUGAUUAAUGAGAAAGGAAAAUGAAAAUUUGAAUUUUCAUAAUAGGUUCUUAAAUUCUGUAUUUCUGAUUCAAUUCCUUGGAAUGAAAUUGAGUCUCUAGUAUUUUGCCAAGAGAAUUUGAGAUUUAAAGGAAAAGGAGGUUAAGUUAUUCUUCAAGUAGAUAUUCUUCUUUACAAAAUCCAAAUGUUUGUCUUAGUGAAACCAAAUUGUCAGUGUUAUAUUCAUUAGCUUGCCUAGCUAUCAGAGUUCAUGAUUCUUGUGAUUUACAACUACUUGGUCUAUAAAAAAUGAAAAGCUAAUGUCAACCCCUAUGGCGAUUUUCUUCUUUACUUGUAACUAAUUAAAAAAAAAGGCUAAGUUAAGUUGAGCCUCAGCUACUAUAGCUUCCUUACAAAUGCAACAAAUGCAGACAAUAAACAAGUCUAACGGGUUGUUUGAUUAGCCCUGAAUGGCUGAAUCGGUUAGUCAUUUAAACAAUUUGGGCUAAAUGAUUUAAUGUCAUUUUUUUGGCUGAAUGGGUUUUUGAAUGAAGUUUUUUUUUUACAAUAUUAACUAUUAUAUUAAAUAUAUUUACAACAAUUUUGAAUUUUUUCAGAAAUAAAAUAAUAGAAAUUAGAUGUUUUAAAUAUGUCAAUUAUCAAACAACUUUUUUCAUUCAGUAUUCAGUUUCAUUCACCUCAUUCAGAUUCAGAGCCAUUUCAUUCAGUUUUUAUCAAACAGUCCCUAAGCUCUUAAUUUUUAGUUUCUUCUCUUCUACUGUUUUCUAUAGUUAAAUACAUAUAGUAGAUAUAUAUUAUGUUCCUAUCUAUACUUCCUCCCAAUUUCUCAUGUUCCUUAUCUGUGCAGCAAAACAUACCAUUGAAUUCUCAAACAGCAGAUUUUUUUUUUUUGCAAAAGUUCAACCUACAUACAUUCACCAAGGGUGGGCGGAUAUUGGUCAAGGAGUACUUAAAAUUUGUUAUUAAUUAUUUUCUGUAAAGUGAUAAAACCAUCCUCUCAAUUUCAGCUUGUUGCUGUCUUUCAGAUUUAGCUUAUUGAUUCAAUACAGAAGGACUAACUCUCAUUAUUAUAAUUUGUAUAAU
rnacentral:lncRNA from 1 species